rnacentral:lncRNA from 1 species
UUUUGAAUGUUUUUAGCCAAAGAUUCUGAUUAUAAUUUUUUAUAAAUGUGGCUGCUAGUAGAUAAACUCCAAUAUUGAGAUUGAAUGGCCUAGUUUUGUUUUAUAUUUUGGUUUAAUUUAUAUGCCAUCUGAUUAAUUUUUUUAUAUCUUGGCUGUUAUAGUGAGUUCAUGUAUUGAAUAAGUUGUUUAGGUAUUGAAUAAGUUCUGUAACAUUUAUAUGUGCUUUCGUUGCUCCAAUGCUUGCUGCUUGGUUUAGAUUGAAAUAUCCCAUAUUGUUUCUAUGAUAUAGUUUCCUAGGAUUUCAAGGUCUAAAUUAUUCCGUCGUGGCGUGUCACCUCUGCUGCCCUCUCUUAUAAUCGGCUACCUCUCAUUAUAAACAAUCAUUCCCCUUUUCUAAUCUUUCUAUGAUCUCUAUCUUAUAUAUAGGUUGAUAAACAAAUCAGGUCUCUAACUAGUAUUCGGUUCAUUAGAUCUUCUUGUUAAUUAGUUUCCCAUGCUGUCUGAUCUUUCUAGGCAUAUAUUUGAUCCAAGAUCAGUGGUUAGUAAUUCUGCACUUGUGGUUUUAUUCAAUUUGUCUGGUCUUUUGGCUUUUAUAUAUAUUUCUUUAACUUUAGUUUUUCUGUGUCUGUGUUGUUGGAUGUUGACUGUAAUUUUUAGAAUUACUCUCCAAAGAGAGAUAUUAGAAAUUUAAGUGGCAUGUCGCCUGCAUAUGUCAUUAGGAUUGUAUUGCUUUCUAAUUCUUUUCUUUCCAACAUUGGCUUUAGAAUAUGCUGGUAUAUAUGUUAGAGUGAGGUGCUCAAAAUGACACUAGUGACUUUUGCUAUACCCCUGAAGAAAAAGAAGGAUUGUUAAUACCUGUAUUUUUAGCUGUUAUUAUAUAGAUUAUGAUCAUAUAUAAAGACCCAUGUGUGCAUAAUGCAACAUGGGUGUUAUCUACAAAAUUCAUGGGGAUCUGGAGUCAGAAAUUUCUUGUUAUGAAAGUUGCUUAGUUAAUUACUUGUUCAAUAAGCUUUUCCCUCUGAUGCGUUGUUUAUGCUUGUAUGUGCAGGUAUCUGACUGUCUCUCCAAACUUUGUGAUGGAAAAAUAUAAAAUGGCCAAUGCAUUAAGUGAUUUAGGCACAAAGAUUUGGCUUCUUUCUGGUGACGAUAUAAAUAUGAGUAUAAGAAAUAGAGAUAUGCUUAUUUUAUCCAGUAUGAACAAUACAAAUGACUUAGGGGCAUUGAAUUGGAAUCAAAUUCUUAAAAGAUGAUUUAAUUUGUCUGCUGAUUAAUGGUGAGUAAUGAUGACCGUGAACACACCUUAAAUCAGCUUCUCACUGUAAGACUCUGAAAUCUAGCUUACUUUUUCUGAAUCACUUUUAAAUGAUGUUAUUAUAGCUAUUUUGUUGCUAUUCUCGGUUGGCUCUUUGUAUGCUUUUGUGGCAGGUUUGUGGUGGUGGAUUAAAUGAGCCAUACGUUGAGCUGAAGAGGCUUGUGAAUUCACAAGAAAAGUUGUACCAGAUGGCUAGCUAGUUGCAUAUUUAAUAUGUUUAGUAUUUUUGUAAGGCAUAAUAGUAUAGAUAGAGCAGUUGUUGAAUUUUGACUAUAUUCAAAUCUUGUAUGAAUUCUUUUUUAUGAUAAUAAUAUAAAAUUAAAUAUUUUGGAUGAUA